rnacentral:rRNA from 1 species
CCAAUAGCGUAUAUUAAAGUUGUUGCAGUUAAAAAGCUCGUAGUUGAAUUUCGGGGUUCAUCCGUUGGUCGGGCUAUUUUGGUCUGUACUGGUGUGAUGGAUUCCUACCUUCUGAAUAACCGGCAUGUCAUUAAUUUGGUGCGCCGGGGAAGCAGGACUGUUACCUUGAAAAAAUUAGAGUGCUUAAAGCAGGCUAUCGCCUGAAUACAUUAGCAUGGAAUAAUGAAAUAGGACGGAAUGGUUCUAUUUUGUUGGUUUCUAGGAUCACCGUAAUGAUUAAUAGGGAUAGUUGGGGGCAUUAGUAUUCAAUUGUCAGAGGUGAAAUUCUUGGAUUUAUUGAAGACUAACUUCUGCGAAAGCAUUUGCCAAGGAUGUUUUCAUUAAUCAAGAACGAAAGUUAGGGGAUCGAAGACGAUCAGAUACCGUCGUAGUCUUAACCAUAAACUAUGCCGACUAGGGAUCGGACGAAGUUAAUUUUUUAAUGACUCGUUCGGCGCCUUACG